CAAAGCUCUGCUCCCUGAGGUAUCUUGGCAAUUGGGAGCUAAGAAAUACCACGGUCACACAGCACAACAGACCUCACACACGAGAUUUAUUGGGAGCAGAAAACCCUGGAGGGUGCCGGAAGAGAAGCAGCGGGGAACUGAGCAGAAGGCAGGGUUUAUAUACAAUUUCUUGGACAUGGGGACCUUUCCAGGCUACCCUGGAAAGGUAUUAUAUGGCCUGAUUUUGAAGCUCAGGGAUUGACAUGACGGGGGCAGAAGCCAGAGGAAGACUGCCUCAGACAUUUGAGACAGUCUCAUACUGAAUUUGGAGUCAGGCAGGUAACCAGCAAGCUUCAGUGGAUCCCUGUCUUCACCCAACAUUCUCCUGGGGUUACAGGGGUGCUGGAAUCUCAAGUCCUCAUGCUUAUUCAACAAAUGCUCUUAUCAACUGAACCAUAUCCCCCUCCCCUCGGGAUGCUGUGGAAGACAAAAAUAGAAACAAAGCAAAGACACUGAACAGAAAACUGGUAUGGUAGACAGGAAUGCAGUUACACCAGUGAUCACUUGAAAUAUCAGUUGGUUGCAGCUGAGGAGUUCGGCGCCCUCUAGUGGACAGGUGCAGCAUGUGUGAAUGAGUUAGGAGAUCGUUGAAUGGGAUAGAUAGCAUAUACCAUUGCUAAAAUGUCCAGUCAAAAAAGUAAGCAUUUGGGGAAGAGUUGCUUGUUGGGUAGAGUGCUUGCAUAGUUUGAAUCCUCAGCACCCAGAUAAAAAGCUGGGGGCACUAUAGCCCUGUCUGUAAUCCUGAGGACAGAGACAGGCAGAUCCUGCGGACUUGGUUUCACUGAGUCAGUAAAAUCAAGGUUCAAAGACACUGUCUCAAAAAAUAAUGUGGAGAGUGACGAAGAAAGCUGAUGCUAACUCUGGCCUCUCUGUGUACACACAUGAAUGAGGGAACUCUCUCUCUCUCCUUUUGAAAUACAGUUGGUGCUAGGAAAGGCAUUAUUAUUAUUAUUAUUUUACAUUGUGUGUGUGUGUCAUGCGGAUUGGGGGAGCAAGGGCAUGUCACCGGGCACAUACAAGGGUUAGCGAGCAACCUAUGCAAGUCAGUUUCUUCCUUCCUUCCUUCUACUUCUGUGGGUUCUAGGAAUUGAACUCAAGUCACCAGGCUCGGCAGCAAGAGCCUUUUCCCACUCACUGGCCCAGGAGAUGCACUUUUGAAAGAGUGAAGUAACAUCAAAGCAAGCUUUCUAUCCCGAAAGCACUAUAUUGAGUGUGUGUGUGUCGGGGUGGGGGCUCACCAACCAACUUGACGUAAUUGACAUCUCUUGGCUACUUUAUCUGACAGCAGAAUGCACACUCCUCUCAGGAACUCUUAGAACAUUUACUAUGACAGGCCAUACUCUGGGUCAUAAAACAUGCCACAAUGGGGGAGGGGAGAUGACACAACAGUUAAGAGCACUGGCUGCUCUUCCAAAGGACCCAGGUUCAGUUCUUAGAACCCGCACGGCAACUCACAGCUGUCUGUAACACCUGACACCCUCAUACAGACAAAACACCAAUGUACUAAUAAGUUUAUUAAAAACAAAACAAUGUUUUUAAUUGUUUAAUUGAACCCAAUGCUGGGUUCAAUUCCCAGCGUCCACAUGCAACUUACAACCAACCAGGGAGUAAGUUCUAGAAAAUCCAGUGCCCUCUUCUGGCAUCUUCGGGUGCCAGUCACAUAUGCAGUGCACAUUACAUACAUGAAGUCAACACACACACAUUCCCACAUACAUACAUACAUGUAUACACACACAUACAUACAUUAAAGCAUACAGUAUCCACUCUCAGACAUGGGAAUGGAAGACAGAGGAAGAACAUGACUAAUGAGAAAGUUGAAAUAUGGAGGGUAGUGAGGGGUACAAAAUAGUACAUCUUUUCUCUCUCACUUAAUAUAGAUUAAAUAAAUGUGUGUGCUAACCUAAAACUAAUACAUACACACACAUACACACACACACACACAUAUGUACUUUUAAAGAGUAACUCCUAUUCUGAGACCACAAGACCAGUGUUCUGUUUGAUCCAGGAUUUUUUUUUUUUAAGAUUUAUUUACUUAUUACAUAUACAGUGUUCUGCCUGCACGUACGCCUGCAGGCCAGAAGAAAGCACCAGCUCUCAUUACAGAUGGUUGUGAGUCAUCAUGUGAUCGCUGGGACUUGAACUCAGGACCUUUGGAAGACAGCCAGUGCUCUUAACCUCUGAGCCUUCGCUCCAGCCCGAUCCAGGAUUUUACACAAUAGCCUUAUGAAAACCAGGCCUUCAUCACUUGGUUACUUCAUGUUAGAGUUGAGCCUCAUCCGAAGCAGUCUGAUCCACUUUCUGCUUUCAUCACACACACACACACACACACACACACACACACACACACACACACGCACACACGCACACACACCUAUGAAA